rnacentral:tRNA from 1 species
GCCUCUAUGGCGCAGUGGUAACGGUAGGUUGUACUAGGAAUGCGAAGAUCACAAGUUCAAUUCUUGUUGGAGGCA